rnacentral:misc_RNA from 1 species
AAGUCGUAACAAGGUUUCCGUAGGUGAACCUGCGGAAGGAUCAUUAACACAAUACUUUCAUAUCAACCUUGGAGCACCGUCUGAACUGAUGACUGCAAGCGCUGGAAAGGCAAUGGUUGGAUUGACAUCGGCCUCCCAGCUAAUUUUCCAUCGAGUUAAUAGCUUGACUUCAUCGGUAAUACAGCCUCGACCAUGGCUGGCCCUUUUUUUUUAUUAACUACUUGAUAUUUGUACUGAUUUGGGCUUCAGAUUUGAGAGGAGCAAUCCUUUCUCUAAGCUUUUGAUGGAGCAAUCCAUUCAAAUAACCAAAACACAACUCUUAACAGCGGAUAUCUCGGUUCUC